GUUUGCGUGUGUCUCUCUGUCAAUGAAUGAGUGUGUGUCAAUGAAUGUGUGUGUGUCAAAUCAGUGAAAGUGUGUGUGUCUGUCAUUGAGUGUGUUAUUGUCAGUGUGUAUCUGCCAGUGUGUGUCAGUGAAUGUGUGUGUGUCUGUCAGAGUGUGUGCUUAAAGGGACACUAUAGGCACCCAGACAACUUCAGCUCAUUGAAGUGGUCUGGGUGCAGUGUCCCAGUCCCCUUAAACCCGCAAGUGUAAUUAUUGCAGUUUCUCAGAAAUUAUCUUGAGUGGUAACUCCACCUCUAGUGGCUGUCUUGACAGCCACUAGAGGGACUUUCAGGUGGUUAGGUGACCAAAAGUUGACUAACUGAUGCUGGACGUCCUCACGCUGUGCAUGAGGACAUCCAGCAUCUGCUAAAUACCCAUAGGAUUUUAACCCCUUCAGUGUUGAGUAGGGCAGAGGAGGACACGAGACACUAUAGCAUUCCCUUAAAA